rnacentral:rRNA from 1 species
GAUGAACGCUGGCGGCGUGCCUAAUACAUGCAAGUCGAGCGAACGGACGAGAAUCUUGCUUCUCUGAUGUUAGCGGCGGACGGGUGAGUAACACGUGGAUACCCUACCUAUAAGACUGGGAUAACUUCGGGAAACCGGAGCUAAUACCGGAUAAUAUUUUGAACCGCAGGGUUCAAAAGUGAAAGCGGUUCUUGCUGUCACUUAUAGAUGGAUCCACGCUGCAUUAGCUAGUUGGUAAGGUAACGGCUUACCAGGGCAACGAUGCAUAGCUGACCUGAGAGGGUGAUCGGCCACACUGGAACUGAGACACGGUCCAGACUCCUACGGGAGGCAGCAGUAGGGAAUCUUCCGCAAUGGGCGAAAGCCUGACGGAGCAACGCCGCGUGAGUGAUGAAGGUCUUCGGAUCGUAAAACUCUGUUAGUAGGGAAGAACAGAUGUGUAAGUAACUGUGCACAUCUUGACGGUACCUAAUCAGAAAGCCACGGCUAACUACGUG